CAUGGUUCAAAAGUGAAAGACGGUCUUGCUGUCACUUAUAGAUGGAUCCGCGCUGCAUUAGCUAGUUGGUAAAGGUAACGGCUUACCAAGGCAAMGAUGCAUAGCCGACCUGAAGAGGGUGAUCGGCCACACUKGAACUGAGACACGGUCCAGACUCCUACGGGAGGCAGCAGUAGGGAAUCUUCCGCAAUGGGCGAAAGCCUGACGGAGCAACGCCGCGUGAGUGAUGAAGGUCUUCGGAUCGUAAAACUCUGUUAUUAGGGAAGAACAUAUGUGUAAGUAACUGUGCACAUCUUGACGGUACCUAAUCAGAAAGCCACGGCUAACUACGUGCCAGCAGCCGCGGUAAUACGUAGGUGGCAAGCGUUAUCCGGAAUUAUUGGGCGUAAAGCGCGCGUAGGCGGUUUUUUAAGUCUGAUGUGAAAGCCCACGGCUCAACCGUGGAGGGUCAUUGGAAACUGGAAAACUUGAGUGCAGAAGAGGAAAGUGGAAUUCCAUGUGUAGCGGUGAAAUGCGCAGAGAUAUGGAGGAACACCAGUGGCGAAGGCGACUUUCUGGUCUGUAACUGACGCUGAUGUGCGAAAGCGUGGGGAUCAAACAGGAUUAGAUACCCUGGUAGU
rnacentral:rRNA from 1 species